rnacentral:rRNA from 1 species
UACGGAGGAUGCGAGCGUUAUCCGGAUUUAUUGGGUUUAAAGGGUGCGUAGGCUGGUAGUUAAGUCAGUGGUGAAAUUUCCCGGCUCAACCGGGAGGCUGCCGUUGAUACUGAUUACCUUGAGUUUAGAUGAUGUGGGCGGAAUGUGUCAUGUAGCGGUGAAAUGCAUAGAGAUGACACAGAACACCGAUAGCGAAGGCAGCUCACAAAGCUAUAACUGACGCUGAGGCACGAAAGCGUGGGGAUCAAACAGG